GAUUUCUCAAGUAAAAUUCAGAAAAUAGUUGGCCAAUAACAAUGUUAAUAUGCAAAACUCAAGCACCAUUGGCUUCUAAGAGUUUGCCUUCAGCUGGUGCAAAGAAGGGCAUAUGCCAGAGUCAUGGGCAAGACUGCCAACCCCUUGCUCUCAAACAGCUCAUUUGCAGAAUUCAUGCUCGAUAUCAUCAGUUGCCCCAUCAUUUCUUCAAGAGGCUCACCACACAUUUGUUGAUGGAGCAAGUAGUGUCCAUACCCCUGCAAAACCACAUUAUUUUUCAGGUAUAGGCAGUUCCCAUAUCACAGUCUGAUAAAAAGAAAAGAGAUGGAUAUCUUUUGUUAUCUCCAUGGACUGUCUCUAGCUCAGAGAUGAAAUACUGUAAAAAUUCUGCAGUAACGGCAGAUUGGUAAUGCCAGAUACAAGACCAAUUAUCACAUUGCUUCAUUGGAUUAUCCUCACAUUGUCAGUAUGCAGCCUAUCCACUGCACCUUAAAAAUAUCUUAUUCUUGUUCCUUAAAACUGUUAGAACAUGGCCAUAUCCAUAUGUUACAUUCGCAUUCAAACAACAUCACAGCAAGUAUAGAGAACAGGUAAACUUUUGAGGGCUCCUGCAGCAGCAAUAUAGAGACAGCUGUUCUUCAUCUAAAUGAAUGAAGGUAUUGGGAUUCUCUCCUAGUAUUUCCAUGAUUACUCGCUGUUUAGCAUUUUGGUUGGUUAUAUCCCAAUGCUUUUAGAUGUUUUCAAGAUCACAUGAUGCAAGAGUUUUCUCAUUAAGCUGCUGAAAAAGCUUUCAGAACCCUCACACCAGAUAGCCUAAAGAAUUAUGCAUAGAAACCAUACAUUUGCAGUGACAGACAUAUAUGGAUCAGAACAUGUCGAACAAUGUUACAUUGCCAACUUUUCCAGAUAACAAUUAAGUUCAUUUUUUACGAAUACAGGAGAUAAAUACCAAGUAGUAUCAUAUAUUGUUUUUCCAACAUACCAACAUUUUUACCUUAAGAGAACUCGGUGAACAAACAAAAGAUUUGUUCUAUAUUACAAGACCAUUUUAAACUUCUACAAGCUAAGGGACAUUAACUUUAAAAUGCAACUCAACAGAGUAGUGUGUUUAUAGAUAGUCUCAAAUGCAUGCAUGUAGCUUUGAUUGGUGAAAUUAUUUU
rnacentral:lncRNA from 1 species